rnacentral:rRNA from 1 species
AUACGGGGGGUGCAAGCGUUAUUCGGAUUUAUUGGGCGUAAAGAGCGCGUAGGCGGCGUGGUAAGUCAGAUGUGAAAGCCCGGGGCUCAACCCCGGAAGUGCAUUUGAAACUAUCAGGCUUGAGUAUGGGAGAGGGAAGUGGAAUUCCUGGUGUAGAGGUGAAAUUCGUAGAUAUCAGGAGGAACACCGGUGGCGAAGGCGACUUCCUGGACCAAUACUGACGCUGAGGCGCGAAGGCGUGGGGAGCAAACAGGAUUAGAAACCCCAGUAGUCC